rnacentral:rRNA from 1 species
UUGGAGGGCAAGUCUGGUGCCAGCAGCCGCGGUAAUUCCAGCUCCAAUAGCGUAUAUUAAAGUUGUUGCAGUUAAAAAGCUCGUAGUUGAAUUUCGGGGUUAGUAGAUUGGUCGUGCCUCCGGUAUGUACUGGUCUCACUGAUUCCUCCUUCUUGAAGAACUGUAAUGCCAUUAAUUUGGUGUUAUGGGGAAUCUAGACUGUUACUUUGAAAAAAUUAGAGUGUUUAAAGCAGGCUAACGCUUGAAUACAUUAGCAUGGAAUAAUGAAAUAGGACGGCAUGGUUCUAUUUUGUUGGUUUCUAGGGUUGAUGUAAUGAUUAAUAGGAAUAGUUGGGGGCAUUAGUAUUCAAUUGUCAGAGGUGAAAUUCUUGGAUUUAUUGAAAACUAACUACUGCGAAAGCAUUUGCCAAGGAUGUUUUCAUUAAUCAAGAACAAAAGUUAGGGGAUCGAAAACGAUCAGAUACCAUCGUAAUCUUAACCAUAAACUAUGCCGACUAGGGAUCGGAUGAUGUUAAUUUUUUAAUGACUCAUUCGGCGCCUUACGGGAAAC